CGGAUGGUUUGCUGAGCCCAUUAGUGCCCCUGGCUGAAACUCACAGUGGCGUCAUGUCCCGCUACCUGCGUCCCCUCAACACGUCUCUGUUCGUCAGGAACGUGGCCGACGACACCAGGUCUGAAGAUUUAUGGUUUGAAUUUGGUCGUUAUGGUCCUAUAAUUGAUGUGUAUGUUCCACUUGAUUUCUACACUCGACGUCCAAGAGGAUUUGCUUAUGUUCAAUUUGAGGAUGUUCAUGAUGCUGAAGAUGCUUUACAUAAUUUGGACAGAAAAUGGAUUUGUGGACGUCAGAUUGAAAUACAGUUUGCACAGGGGGAUCGAAAAACAUCAAACCAAAUGAAAGCCAAGGAAGGGAGGAAUGUGUAUAGCUCUUCACGCUACGAUGAUUAUGACAGAUACAGACAUUCUAGAAGCCGAAGUUACGGAAGGAGGCAAUCAAGAAGUCGGUUUUUUGAUUACAACUAUAGAAGAUCUUAUAGUCCUAGAAACAGUAGACCAACUGGAAGACCACGGCGUAGCAGAAGCCAUUCUGACAAUGAUAGAUUCAAACAACGAAAUCUAUCUUUUUCAAGAUCUAAAUCCAAUUCAAGAUCACGGUCCAAGUCCCAGCCCAAGAAAGAAAUGAAGGCUAAAUCACGGUCUAGGUCUGCAUCUCACACCAAAACUAGAGGCACCUCUAAAACAGAUUCCAAAACACAUUAUAAGUCUGGCUCAAGAUAUGAAAAGGAAUCAAGGAAAAAAGAACCACUUAGAUCCAAAUCUCAGUCAAGAUCACACUCUAGGUCUAGGUCAAAAUCUAGAUCAAGGUCUUGGACUAGUCCUAAAUCCAGUGGCCACUGAUAGUAUAAACUAUGAUACUUUCUAGGCAUGUAUCAUUCAUUUACUCAUAGUUUGGUAUACUUAAAUUAUCAGGAAUACAAUGUUGCAAUGAUGCAUAAAAAUACUUGUUAGUUUUCCCUGUACCAGGCAAUGGUUAUAUUAAAAUGAUACGCUGUUGAGAAGCCACUCUUAAGAGUCCAGUUUGUUUAAUGUUAAGGGCAGCUAUCAAUUUGUGGUGUCUCUGUAUAUUUUUGUAAAGAUUCUCCUUUUUUAUGCUUGAAUUAUCUGGUGAAAAGAUGUUGGUUGACCAUAAUUUGCAACAUUGUCUUAUUAAAGAUAAAUUUUCAUAUUUGGUAGAACUGUUAACCUAGAAAUGUAGCUUGCUGAUAAGAUAGAAUGAUACAAAAGUGAGGUUGUAACCACAUUACCACACUUACUGCUCAGAUACAUGUAGGUUCAGGGUGGACCUCUAUGUUUUGUCAAGAUAUCU